CAGGAUGUCAUCAGGAGUUAGUCAACCAAAUAACAUUUCCAAGGUCCGUCUACAACGAGACCCAUUUCUUAAUGAACUCACCAACAUGUUUGAGUGAAGCAGAGAAAAGGGUUCUGUCUGGGUGACACUUAAAUACUCCUCUGACAAGUCUAAGCUCCAGAGGAAUAAGAUGAAGACUGCUGGGGAGAAAAUUGAGUACAAGUGUCUUAUUCGAGCUACAGAUGG